UAAGGAUCUGUCUUUGAUGUGUUCAAGACUGACCACUCAACUCGCCGGGCCAGGUUAGUUUGCAUAGGCUAAACCCAGGAAUUUCUGUGUUUUUUGCACAGUUCAGGAGAACUGCUGCAGCCUGUAUUUUCCCUUCAGUACCCAAAGUAUCAGCUGAAUUCUACCAUUUUACUAAUUUCUAACAUUCACCAGCUCUAGAUCUGUAACAGUAUAUUGAUUUUGUUAACUGCAAGGAUAUAUACAAAUGUAGGAGUGUCAAGACACAGAAGUCCCCACCUGCAAUCUGAAGUGGUAUAGGCAAGUAGAAUCUCACUGCUCUUCUUGUGUGGAUAGCAUCAUUACUUAUAUAUAGCACACAUUGUCCUGAGGGAUAUCUCAGCCUGUAGACCAUAAGACUCUUUAUCUCAGGGUUGUGGAUUUGAACUCCAUGCUGGGUGAAAGAUUCCUGAAUUGCAGAGGGUUGGGCUAGAUGAUCCUUGCAAUCCCUCCCUCCCAACUCUACAAUUUUAUAGCUGUGAUAAACGAGGUUGCGCUUUUAAACUUAUCCACCACCUCCCAACAGGACUUGUUCCUGCAAGAAUUGAAAUUGCAGGAAUUAUUUUUAAUUUCACAUCUAUGCAUAUAAAUGCACAUAUGCAAACCUGUGUCCUCUUUUAUCCUUUUUUGGGGGCAAUGCGUGUAAGUGGCCACUCUAAAUUAAUCAGGGAAAACUCUGAACCGAACGUAUUCUGCCAGCUUCUCCCUCUGAGAAUUAAAUUCCUUCCCUUGCAGACCUGGAGCUCCAGAUCAAACUCUUGAAACCUUACCUAGGUCAAUUACAGCAGCAGGAGCUCUCCUGGAGUAGAAUCAAGGGGGCAGGUAAGGAGUUGGGUAACACAAUACAGGCAGAGCUGAAAUUGCUGCAGUUAAUUUCUCAUAGGAGAAGCAUUAGGAAUACAAGCCUUUCUGAAAAACAUCUCCUCUUAGAUGAAAGCCUCCUUGUUUCCGUUUCAUCUGAGACAUUUCUUCAGAAGGGGGUGGCUGUGACCCCACGUGGGUGAGGCAGAGGCCACCUGUCUUUGUGAUCAGUCCACGUGUCCCAGGCCUGGCCUCUGGGAUCAUAACAGUAGGUUUACCUCCUAGUGAUCCUUGACUCAAACCCUGUCCAUCUUAAAUGUGUUUUCACUUGAGGCAGCUGUGCAGAUGAGAGGUGUAAAUGGAAAUGUAGAGAUGCAAUGAGACUGUGAUAUGUUCUAUCACAUGCGGUGGACCUGUAAAAGGGUAAAAGAGUAUUGGGAAAUAAUUCAUAAUGAAUUGAAAAAACAACAACGUUUAAAAGUAUUUUUUUUAAAAACCAGAGUCCUAUUUGUUGGGGGUAAUUCAGAAGGAAAUUCCCAGGUGUCCACAAAGGUUAUUUAUGUAUGAUGCUACUGUGGCCCCUGUUUUGUUAGCCCCAAAAUGGAAAACGGGCAAAGUCCGAGCUGAAGAAGAAUGACAACUUAAAGUGAUGGAAUAUGUGCAGCUUGCAGACCUAACAUAUAGAAUAUGAGAACAAGAAGAACAUAGGUUUAAAGAAGAUUGGAAGAUUUUUAUUGAAUAUAUGGGGGGAAAUUGUGUACAUCUGAAAACUUGGGCAGCAUUAAGAUAAAUUCAACAGUGUAAAUACCAUAAGUUUUGAUGGAUGUAAUACGUAAUGGAACACUGAAUAGUUUAGUUUACGUAAAAUAUGCAGGGAUUUAUGUUAUGCAAAAUGAACCAUGGGAAGAGAAGAUGGGAAGUCAUUGAUAUUUUAAGGUUGUUUAAGUGAAUAUCCUAAAAUGUAAAACAGAAAAUUUAAUAACAAUUAUAGGGAAAAGAAAAUGCAAAUGUAGACAUAACUAUUACAAUAUAAAGUGGCAUCGCAGAUCAUUAGUUGCAAAGAGGUGACCUACUAAGUUUGCUUUAGCGCCUCCUAUGUGCUCUUCCUUCUUAGGGUUCUUUAAACCAGCCUCAGACCGGACAGCCCUUCCAAUGGGGAGCUCCUUCAAACAGUCCUCUGUAAGGUAGGACUCACGGCUGCCUGGUGCUGCAGGCAGGUAUGGGGCACGUGCCACAGCUUGAACCCACAAAACUGCCCUUGGGUGCAGUUGAGGACGCUGGUCUAUUGCCAACAUUGAAGUAAGAUUCAGCUGCCAGUUCUGGACAGUUUCUGGACUCGGAAGGGGAGCAAGUGCCCGAAGGCCUCUUCAGUCGGUUCUCAUUCCACCACCACCCCUGUCCAGUUCUCUCUGCCAUCUUGGAUUUUCCUCUUGGUUCAUUGGUCAGUUUGAUGGGCCCCAUCCUACUUGAUUCUUCUUUGGUCUCGCAGCCUGCCAUGCAUGGAGGAAGGGAGAAGGCUACUCUUGGCUACCCAAGGCAGGGUGACACAGGAGAAUGACUCUUUUGGGACAGCAGGCAGCUGCGGCUUGAAGCAUGCUGACCCCUGGAGGAUUUUGCAGACCCUACACUCCCUUCUCCUUGCAGGACAGCAGCUCCAGCAAAUAACUGGGCGAUGGAUUGCAGGUAGAGGUGACUUGCUUCCAUUCCUCGGGAACUUUGGAUUCAGGAUACACAAUGGAGUGGAAAUACACAUCUGAUCCACGAAUGCAACAGCUGCUAGGCUUUAUUCCGUUGAACCCUACAAAGAACUUGGCUGCUUUGUUCAAUGGAGCAAUUGCCAAAUUGCAUUGUUUGUUGUGAAUUGCAUUGGCCCUUUUUGUCCAAAAGCGGUCAGGACGAACAACAAGGACGUUUCCCUUGUCUUGCCACCUGUCACAACAACCUUUAAGUUCUCCCCCGCUCCAAACACCUGCCUGUAGUACCGAUUCUAACAAUGCUGACUCUACAGCACCUGUCAAGGUUUAUUGUACCGCAUUCUUUGUACAGCAAAGAAUGAGAAAUCCGGAAUAAGUAAAGUGAUACUUUGAUGUUUGGAAAGCUUUACAGAUUGGCGGAAGUGUGCGAGCCUCUGAUUCGGACAGAAUUCUGAGCUGGAUGUUUGCAUGAACUUCUUUCAUCUUUGCAGAGGGGUACCAGAGGGUGAGGUUCAGUUCAGGACCAGCUCCAGAUUUAAGGCUCAGUGCUUUAUAGAAAGCCCCUUCUAUAUUUGCACGUCACCAGUCAUCGCCUUUUUAAAUCCCCACAAUUUCGCAGAAUGCCUGGGUUAUUUUUGUUGUUGUUGUUUGUUUGUUUAUAUAAGAUUAAGAUAGUUUGCAAAGUUCAAAAACCCAUUCCAUAGACAUUAAAAUACGAGCAUCCAUAAUUAAAAUACACAAUAAAGUAAUCCCAUGAAAAGCCAUAGUUUAAUCCAUAAUUAAAAUGUGUGUGCACGCACACGCACAUUACAGUAAUUAAAAAAGAGGAGAUUCUGGUCAAAAGAUCAAGGGAAUGCCUGUGUAAAACAUCCUUAGAAGCCAGCAGAAUGUCCAUGGAAUGUCUCCUGCCCACCCAUGAGGCCAGGUGAGGUGAUGGGCUCAGGCGACAGGGUCCCCGGGGCAGCAGGUCCUUGUUUCAUCUUUCUCUCCCCACUCCCACUCUGUCAGUGCUU
rnacentral:lncRNA from 1 species